UACGUAGGCAGCAAGCGUUGUUCGGAAUUACUGGGCGUAAAGAGUGUGUAGGCGGUGCUCUAAGUUCGGUGUGAAAUCUCCCGGCUCAACUGGGAGGGUGCGCCGGAAACUGGAAUGCUUGAGCGUGGGAGAGGAAAGCGGAAUUCCUGGUGUAGCGGUGAAAUGCGUAGAUAUCAGGAGGAACACCGGUGGCGAAGGCGGUUCUCUGGGCAUGCCCUGACGCUGAGGAGCGAAAGUGUGGGGAGCGAACAGG
rnacentral:rRNA from 1 species